rnacentral:rRNA from 1 species
UACGAAGGGUGCUAGCGUUGUUCGGAAUUACUGGGCGUAAAGCGCGCGUAGGCGGCUUGACAAGUCAGGGGUGAAAUCCCACAGCUCAACUGUGGAAUUGCCUUUGAAACUGUCAGGCUUGAGUGUCGGAGGGGAUAGCGGAAUUGCUAAUGUAGAGGUGAAAUUCGUAGAUAUUAGCAGGAACACCGGUGGCGAAGGCGGGCUAUCUGGACGACAACUGACGCUGAGGCGCGAAAGCGUGGGGAUCAAACAGGG